GGUAGUNCACGCCCUAAACGAUGUCGAUUAGCUGUUGGGCAGCAUGACUGCUUAGUAGCGAAGCUAACACGUGAAAUCGACCGCCUGGNGAGUACGGUCGCAAGAUUAAAACUCAAAGGAAUUGACGGGGACCCGCACAAGCGGUGGAUGAUGUGGAUUAAUUCGAUGCAACGCGAAGAACCUUACCUGGUCUUGACAUGUACGGAAUCCUCCAGAGACGGAGGAGUGCCUUCGGGAGCCGUAACACAGGUGCUGCAUGGCUGUCGUCAGCUCGUGUCGUGAGAUGUUGGGUUAAGUCCCGCAACGAGCGCAACCCUUGUCAUUAGUUGCCAUCAUUAAGUUGGGCACUCUAAUGAGACUGCCGGUGACAAGCCGGAGGAAGGUGGGGAUGACGUCAAGUCCUCAUGGCCCUUAUGACCAGGGCUUCACACGUCAUACAAUGGUCGGUACAGAGGGUAGCCAAGCCGCGAGGCGGAGCCAAUCUCACAAAACCGAUCGUAGUCCGGAUUGCACUCUGCAACUCGAGUGCAUGAAGUCGGAAUCGCUAGUAAUCGCAGGUCAGCAUACUGCGGUGAAUAUGUUCCCGGGUCUUGUACACACCGCCCGUCACACCAUGGGAGUGGGGGAUACCAGA
rnacentral:rRNA from 1 species